rnacentral:rRNA from 1 species
GCUUGUCUCAAAGAUUAAGCCAUGCAUGUCUAAGAAUAAGGGCAUUGAGCCCGAAUCUGCGAACGGCUCAUUAAACAAGCUAUAAUUUAUUUGAUAGUGGUGAUUGCACAUGGAUAACUGUGCUAACUGUAGAGCUAAUACAUGCAGACAAUUCCGUGUCAUGCGGAAUGCAUUUAUUAGAUACAAACCAACCCGGUAAAACGGCGAGGAGGAAUCAUAAUAACUGAGCGAAUCGCAUGCCCUCGUGGCGGCGAUGCAUCAUUCAAAUUUCUUCCCUAUCAGCUUUUGACGGUAGUGUAGUGGACUACCGUGGCGGUAACGGGUAACGGAGAAUUAGGGUUCGAUUCCGGAGAGGGAGCCUUAAAAAUGGCUACCACAACUAAGGAAGGCAGCAGG